GGUGGCUCAAUGGUAGAGCGUUUGCCUUGCAUUCAUGAGGCCUUAGGUUCAAUUCCUCAGAACCA
rnacentral:tRNA from 1 species